AAGUGUCUCAAGAGUUCUCCUCUGGUUGUGUCUUUCACCGAUCAGGGGGCAACGCGAGCGUGUGAAAAGAGAGAAUGGAACCCCAGGUAGGUGGAAGUUCGUUAGGGAGUUGGUCUUCCAUCCCAGCAGGCCUUCCAAACCCUAACAUCGACAGCACCACUCACCAGUCUCUGGCUUCUCACUUCCACCUCUUGCCCCUAAUUGACAAUUUAGCAGAAGCAGUAGAAAAUGGAACACGUGACCAACAUUCAGACGCGUUGGUUGCUGAAUUGACCAGCCAUUUUGAGAGGUGUCAACAACUACUGAACUCCAUAUCAGGAACUAUAAGUUCCAAAUCUGCAACUGUGGAAGGCCAAAAGCGCAAGGUAGAUGAAUGUCAGCAACUUCUGAAUCAACGGAGGGAUCUGAUCUCGCAGUACAAGAAUUGCGUGGAGGACUUGAUCAAGUCAGACACUAAAAAGCUGUAGUGCUUUCCUGCCGCUUCUCUUGAUGAUUAAAAGACUUGAAGCUGUGGAUGCGGAUGCAUAUGCUUUGUUCUUUUUGCCAGUGACUGAAGGCCCAUGUUCUACGGAUCUCAUCGCAGGGAAAACGUUGCCGUGUGCUUCCUUCACAGUUGGAUUUCCUUUUCUUUUUCCCAGUUAGAUUUCAUAUGAAUAAGCCGAAAUGUAAGGUGCACCUCCAAAGGUCAGGGAAGUUGAACCGAAAGGAUUCUGCCAAUGUGACCUCCAGGGUUGAGGACCAUCUCUUCCUUUCCACUCAAUUCUAUCCAAAUCUGUAUGUGAACUCGAGAUGCAUCCUGAUCAUAUUCUUAGACCAUGUUUAAUUAUCUUGAGGGGGUUGGUUCAAUGGUUGGAACAAAGACUGGGGCAUCAUUUUGAAUGCAGAAUUGGUACCUUGGGAGCCGAGAGGAAGAGUGGGGGUUUCUGCUUUCUUGUUGAAUAGGAAUGUGAAGUAUUACUCAUGCUCACCUAACUUAUGCCAUAUUUAACUAGAUGUUUAGCUUUCUUCACUUGUUUUCAAAGCUUAAAACUUGUGGCAAAGGCACCUGGUUGGCCCAACAACUAACCAGUAGGUAGUUAGUUGCUGAUUCAAAUCUUACAUAUGUUUGUCCUUUGCGCACAAGCCCAUGCAUGCCAAGACAACCGGGACAGGGGAAUGGCUUUGGGGUUUUAUGUCUCGGCUUGACUAGGAGUCUCUUGUUGUGGAUGGUUUCUUUCCAAGAAAAAGAAAAAGAAAAAAAACUUAAAUUUUGUGCUAUCA